UACGAAGGACCCAAGCGUUAUCCGGAUUUAUUGGGUUUAAAGGGUGCGUAGGCGGGCUAUUAAGUCAGUGGUGAAAGCCUUCAGCUUAACUGGAGAAUUGCCAUUGAUACUGAUGAUCUUGAGUAUGAUUGAGGUGGGCGGAAUGUGUCAUGUAGCGGUGAAAUGCUUAGAUAUGACACAGAACACCGAUUGCGAAGGCAGCUCACUAAGCCAUAACUGACGCUGAUGCACGAAAGCGUGGGGAGCAAACAGG
rnacentral:rRNA from 1 species